rnacentral:misc_RNA from 1 species
UCCGGUUCAUCACCGGCAGUCCCCUUAGAGUCCCCAACUUUACUUGCUGGCAACUAAGGGCAAGGGUUGCGCUCGUUACGGGACUUAACCCAACAUCUCACAACACGAGCUGACGACAGCCAUGCAGCACCUGUCUCUGCGCUCCUUUCGGCACUUCGCCCUCUCAGGCAAAUUCGCAGGAUGUCAAAAGUAGGUAAGGUUCUUCGUGUAGCAUCGAAUUAAACCACAUGCUCCACCGCUUGUGCGGGCCCCCGUCAAUUCCUUUGAGUUUCAACCUUGCGGCCGUACUUCCCAGGCGGAAGACUUAUCGCGUUAGCUUCGAUACCGAUAGGUUCCCCUACCAACAUCUAGUCUUCAUCGUUUACAGCGUGGACUAC